rnacentral:lncRNA from 1 species
UUUUAUUUAACACUGUAAUAUAAUAUAAUAAUGAGUGUGCUAAAGAACAGUAAAAAUAAUCAGAGAAUGAAUGAUAGUCUCUUCCUAUGAAGCAGGGAAAUGAGAGAGUGAAUUUAAUCAUCAAAGUGCCAUAAUAAUAAGGGGAAUAUAAAUGAUGAUGAAUAUGAACAUGAAACGUGCGGUCAUCAUGAACCAAUGAAAC